rnacentral:rRNA from 1 species
CGCUCAACAGCUAGCUUAAAUAACUAAUCUCAACAAACACUAUUAAUAACCC